rnacentral:rRNA from 1 species
AUUGAACGCUGGCGGCAUGCCUUACACAUGCAAGUCGAACGGCAGCACGGGAGCAAUCCUGGUGGCGAGUGGCGAACGGGUGAGUAAAGCAUCGGAACGUGCCCAGUCGUGGGGGAUAACGUAGCGAACGCUACGCUAAUACCGCAUAAGAUCUGUGGAUGAAAGCGGGGGACCGUAAGGCCUCGCGCGAUUUGAGCGGCCGAUGUCAGAUUAGGUAGUUGGUGGGGUAAAGGCCCACCAAGCCGACGAUCUGUAGCUGGUCUGAGAGGACGACCGGCCACACUGGGACUGAGACACGGCCCAGACUCCUACGGGAGGCAGCAGUGGGGAAUUUUGGACAAUGGGCGCAAGCCUGAUCCAGCAAUGCCGCGUGCAGGAUGAAGGCCUUCGGGUUGUAAACUGCUUUUGUACGGAGCGAAAAGGCUCCCUCUAAUACAGGGGGCUCAUGACGGUACCGUAAGAAUAAGCACCGGCUAACUACGUGCCAGCAGCCGCCGUAAUAC